CUAGCGUUGUUCGGACUUACUGGGCGUAAAGCGCACGUAGGCGGCUUUGUAAGUUAGAGGUGAAAGCCCAGGGCUCAACCCUGGAAUUGCCUUUAAGACUGCAUCGCUUGAACAUCGGAGAGGUAAGUGGAAUUCCGAGUGUAGAGGUGAAAUUCGUAGAUAUUCGGAAGAACACCAGUGGCGAAGGCGACUUACUGGACGAUUGUUGACGCUGAGGUGCGAAAGCGUGGGGAGCAAACAGG
rnacentral:rRNA from 1 species